rnacentral:rRNA from 1 species
UACAUGGGGUGCAAACGUUGCUCGGAAUCAUUGGGCGUAAAGCGCGCGUAGGCGGUUACUUAAGUCGAAUGUGAAAGCCCUCGGCUUAACUGAGGAAGUGCAUCCGAAACUGAGUAGCUAGAGUACGAAAGAGGGUCGCGGAAUUCCCGGUGUAGAGGUGAAAUUCGUAGAUAUCGGGAGGAACACCGGUGGCGAAGGCGGCGACCUGGGUCGAGACUGACGCUGAGGCGCGAAAGCGUGGGGAGCGAACAGG